GACGAACGCUGGCGGCGUGCCUAAUACAUGCAAGUAGGACGCAGUUGCGAACGGGUGAGUAACGCGUAGGUAACUACCUAUUAGAGGGGGAUAACUAUUGGAAACGAUAGCUAAUACCACAUACUAGUAGAUGGACCUGCGUUGUAUUAGCUAGUAGGUAGGGUAAUGGCCUACCUAGGCAACGAUACAUAGCAGACCUGGGAGGGGUAACGGCCACACUGGGACUGAUAUACGGCCGAGACUCCUGCGGAAGGCAGCAGUAGGGAAGCUUGGGCAAGGGGGGGAACCCUGACCGAGCAACGCCGCGAGAGUGAAGAAGGUUUUCGGAUCGUAAAACUCUGUUGUUAGAGAAGCGGUAUCUAACCAGAAAGCCACGGCUAACUACGUGCCAGCAGCCGCGGUAAUUC
rnacentral:rRNA from 1 species